rnacentral:tRNA from 1 species
GCUUUCGUGGCCAAAUCGGUUACGGCUCCCGACUCUUAAUCGGGCGAUUGCGGGUUCGAGUCCCGCCGAGAGCU